CAUAUUCCAAAGAAUGUAAAGUUAUAAAAACAAAAACCCCCACUGGAACAAGUGUCAUUUUCCACCAAGGUGGGCUUGAUCACACACAGCUUUCUGUCCUUUCUUGUGACAUAGUUUACUGUCAUUUGCCUGAUGUUUUAUUUAACUUUGUUAUGUGCAUCUAUCUCAUCUUUUCAACCACAUUUCAGAUUCCUUGUGGGGAGAGUUCUUGCUGAACCUCUUUGAAGUCUUUGCA
rnacentral:lncRNA from 1 species